AAAAUAUGAGAGUUUGAUCCUGGCUCAGGAUGAACGCUGGCGGCGUGCCUAAUACAUGCAAGUCGAGCGAACUCUGGUAAAUGAAUGAAGGUGCUUGCACCUGAGUGAUUUUACAUUUGAGUGAGCGGCGGAUGGGUGAGUAACACGUGGGUAACCUGCCCUAAAGUGGGGGAUAACAUCUGGAAACAGGUGCUAAUACCGCAUAACAACAAUUUUCACAUGAUUAUUGUUUGAAAGAUGGUUCUGCUAUCGCUUUAGGAUGGACCCGCGGCGUAUUAGUUAGUUGGUGAGGUAACGGCUCACCAAGACGAUGAUACGUAGCCGACCUGAGAGGGUAAUCGGCCACAUUGGGACUGAGACACGGCCCAAACUCCUACGGGAGGCAGCAGUAGGGAAUCUUCCACAAUGGACGAAAGUCUGAUGGAGCAACGCCGCGUGAGUGAAGAAGGUUUUCGGAUCGUAAAACUCUGUUGUUGAAGAAGAACAUGCAUGAGAGUAACUGUUCAUGUAUUGACGGUAUUCAACCAGAAAGCCACGGCUAACUACGUGCCAGCAGCCGCGGUAAUACGUAGGUGGCAAGCGUUAUCCGGAUUUAUUGGGCGUAAAGCGAGUGCAGGCGGUUUAUUAGGUCUGAUGUGAAAGCCCUCGGCUCAACCGAGGAAGUGCAUCGGAAACCGGUAAACUUGAGUGCAGAAGAGGAGAGUGGAACUCCAUGUGUAGCGGUGGAAUGCGUAGAUAUAUGGAAGAACACCAGUGGCGAAGGCGGCUCUCUGGUCUGUAACUGACGCUGAGGCUCGAAAGCGUGGGUAGCAAACAGGAUUAGAUACCCUGGUAGUCCACGCCGUAAACGAUGAGUGCUAAGUGUUGGGGGGUUUCCGCCCCUCAGUGCUGCAGCUAACGCAUUAAGCACUCCGCCUGGGGAGUACGACCGCAAGGUUGAAACUCAAAGGAAUUGACGGGGGCCCGCACAAGCGGUGGAGCAUGUGGUUUAAUUCGAAGCAACGCGAAGAACCUUACCAGGUCUUGACAUAUCUUGAAACACUAAGAGAUUAGUUUUUCCCUUCGGGGACAAGAAUACAGGUGGUGCAUGGUUGUCGUCAGCUCGUGUCGUGAGAUGUUGGGUUAAGUCCCGCAACGAGCGCAACCCUUAUUAUUAGUUGCCAGCAUUAAGUUGGGCACUCUAGUGAGACUGCCGGUGACAAACCGGAGGAAGGUGGGGACGACGUCAAAUCAUCAUGCCCCUUAUGACCUGGGCUACACACGUGCUACAAUGGUCGGUACAACGUGUUGCGAACUCGCGAGGGCAAGCAAAUCACUUAAAACCGAUCUCAGUUCGGAUUGUAGGCUGCAACUCGCCUACAUGAAGCUGGAAUCGCUAGUAAUCGCGGAUCAGCAUGCCGCGGUGAAUACGUUCCCGGGCCUUGUACACACCGCCCGUCACACCAUGAGAGUUUGUAACACCCAAAGCCGGUGGGGUAACCUUUUAGGAGCUAGCCGUCUAAGGUGGGACAAAUGAUUAGGGUGAAGUCGUAACAAGGUAGCCGUAGGAGAACCUGCGGCUGGAUCACCUCCUUUCUAAGGAA
rnacentral:rRNA from 1 species